rnacentral:rRNA from 1 species
UACGUAGGGGGCAAGCGUUGUCCGGAUUUAUUGGGCGUAAAGAGCUCGUAGGUGGUUCGGUAAGUCGGAUGUGAAAUCUCCAGGCUCAACCCUGGAGGGGUCAUUCGAUACUGCCGUGACUAGAGGUCGGUAGGGGAGUGUGGAAUUCCUGGUGGAGCGGUGAAAUGCGCAGAUAUCAGGAGGAACACCCGUAGCGAAGGCGGCACUCUGGGCCGAUACUGACACUGAGGGAGCGAAAGCCAGGGGAGCAAACGGG